ACUGAAACUCCGAUUUCCGACGCUUUGAACGCAACUUCGUUGUCCGACUGCAACUGAAUGCACCAAUGACGUUAGUUUGAUCUUUUGAUUGUAUUUCGUUUGGAUUUGAAGAAGCUUUGAAGACGUUUCCUGAUUCCGGAGGAGAAGACGAGCAGCUUUGUACCUUUGCGAGUGAAAGUAGCAGUUCCUCCUUAAGGUCAGAGAUUGCAGCAUCUGAGGGCCUCUUCAAAAGAAGACGUAGUUGAUGAAGGCGUUCUGGAGCAGGACCAGAAAGACCACGACCAAGCAGCCUUGAGAUCUUAGGCAGCGUCUCCCUGAGGUCCCUCUCUAUCUCCCCACACAUCCACCAACCACUGGAACUCAUCGCCAAAGUUCUGCUGGUCCAGCUCAGCUUCCCCUCAGAAGAAGUGGUGCCACCUGCCAGAUGAAGGAGCCUUUUGAGAGGCAGCUGGCAUCGUGAUUGGACUGUACUUUGGUCUGUUCCAAUCCAGCUUCAGCUCCAGAGACGGCAGGCGGGACGAGUCAACGGAGGCCGGAUGGACGAAGGCAUGCAGCUGAGUACAAUCCAGAAAACAACAGAGGAGGAGUGCAGCAGCCCAGAGCCAGAACAACCAGAGUAGCAUCGUAUGUCUCUUAGAAAACAUCAUAGUAUAGCCUUUGGUAUGAAAAAACACCAUCAUAUACAUCGUAUAUUGUACAAAUAACAAGUCAAAGGAAAGAGACAUACAUUGUAGAAUUGUAGUAAUUGUGGGCUGACUGAUUUACUGAUUAUCAGUAUUUUAUUUUUUACUGAUUUACGGUAAUAAAUACAUUUAAAAAUGGUGCUACUUUGGCUCUGAACCUUUAUCUACCUGUGGUCGCUCUGUCUUCUGGAGUGAUUUGAUUGGUUAUACGUCAUGAAUAAAACUCCUUUAACAUCUGUAAACAAAAAAAAAACGUAUCAACAAAGUUUUCUGUUAGAGUUUGUGUUCUUCUAAGUUUAAC
ensembl:lncRNA